UUGCGGCCAUAUCACGUGAAAAAAACGGUUCUCGUCCGAUCACCGAAAUGAUGUGCUUGGUCAGUACCUAGAUGAGUGAACGCUUGGGAAUACCAGGUGCUGUAAG